CCUACGGGAGGCAGCAUAAGGAAUAUUGGUCAAUGGGCGCAAGCCUGAACCAGCCAUGCCGCGUGAAGGAUGACGGCCCUAUGGGUUGUAAACUUCUUUUGUACGGGAAUAAACCCAGGUACGUGUACCUGGCUGAAUGUACCGUAAGAAUAAGGAUCGGCUAACUCCGUGCCAGCAGCCGCGGUAAUACGGAGGAUCCAAGCGUUAUCCGGAUUCAUUGGGUUUAAAGGGUGCGUAGGCGGACUUAUAAGUCAGUGGUGAAAUCCUGCAGCUUAACUGCAGAACUGCCAUUGAUACUGUAAGUCUUGAGUGUGUUUGAAGUGGGCGGAAUGUGUCAUGUAGCGGUGAAAUGCUUAGAUAUGACACAGAACACCGAUUGCGUAGGCAGCUCACUAAACCACAACUGACGCUGAGGCACGACAGCGUGGGGAUCAAACAGGAUUAGAUACCCUGGUAGUCCACGACCGUAAACUAAUGAUUACUCGAUGUUGGCGAUAUACAGUCGAGCGUCUAAGACUAAAGACGUUAAAGUAAAUAACCACCUGGGGAGGUUACGGUCGCGAAGAGUUAGAACGUUACAAAUUAGAAGUUAGACGG
rnacentral:rRNA from 1 species